CAGAAAGUGUUGUGCAAGCAGGCUCUGGAGACCCGCAGGCUCCUGGGCAGAGGGCUGCCUUCCGUGUGGGCUUGCCCCUCGCCACACCUGGCCAGGAGCCUCCCCCAGCCCCGUGACCCUUGUGUCAGAGCCUGGCCAGAUGACAGACAGCCUGGGGUGCAGGCGAGACCCACUGAACUGGUAGCUGAGGACAGGUCCAGGCCCAGUGGCUGGGGGACUUCUCAGAGCAGGUACCACAACAGCUACCCAAGGACUCAGGACUUUUCUCCCACAGCCAGACUUGGUGAUUGCAUGAAGGAGCCCAGCCUCGGAUGACCUUUCCCCGUGACAAGGCACUAGGAGAGCACAGACCUCCCCACACAAACACUGAGACACCCAACCUUGCGUGACCUUGAGCCAAACACAACUCUUAGGAGGUAACCUGCUUUACAAGAUGAGAAAGACACGAGUAAAAACAUCAGCAGACUCUGGAAGAGUCAGUAAACAAACAAGCUGUCCUUGGAGCAAGCAAGCGCUUCCCUUUCGGCAUCUCCCCCUCUCUGAGCGGCAGCCCUGCAAGUGAGGCCAAUAGCCGUCCCUCAGCUGUGUACAGGACAGGCAUUCUUGGACCUCAGAGUCCUGCAGUAGCAUUUUGAGGACGCCAAGUUAUUGAUGGGGACAGGUGCUCAUAAUUCAGCAUAACCCACCCCAGCCGUGUUUCACUUUUUCUGGAAACCUCUUGAUUUAGGAAUGAAAGCCCCUGGCUCCCCCUGGGCUGGGCUGGCCAGUAAACAUCUCAGUCUGAGUUUGCCGAGGUGGGUUGCUAAAUUUAAUUGCCAGUUUCCACACCAUGUGAUGGUGUGUGACAGGCCAGCUCACCCUGUGAGU